AAGUCAGCUUUCUCUUGUUCGGUAUCAGGCAUAACUGAGAGGCAUCGUGGUGGUUGCAGGUUAAGUUUCCUUACCUGCUCUAAUGAUUUUAUGAAUCUCUUGAGGAUGAUUAAUUUUUUCAACUUGCUCCAGUUCUUGGAUUUCAGGGACUAGGGUUUUCUGGCUGACUUUUGUUUCUGGUCCUCUUGACCAACCGAAAUUCCACCUUCACAUGUGGUACAUUGUGUUGUGUUUUCUUGGUCUAGACUUUCUGAGAUCUUCUGGUCUGGAAUAAAGUCACUUAUAACUGAUUGUGUAUCAGAUGAGUCAUCUUGAACUUCUGGAAGAAGGAUCUCAUCAACUGCCUCUUGUACAAGUUUAACUGUAUCAGUUUUGGUGAAGGCACUAUUCAAAUGGCUAGGAAUACGGUUUUCCUUGCCCUGGUCAUAACCAGAUUUUGGGAAAUAAUCACCAUUGUUUAUUUUAGACAAUUCAUUGCAAUCUUCUAUUUCAUCAUCGUCUGUUCCAUCAAGAAGUUGGCUUCCAACUUUUGCAGCACUACCUGAUACCAC
rnacentral:lncRNA from 1 species